UAGGGAAUCUUCCACAAUGGACGCAAGUCUGAUGGAGCAACGCCGCGUGAGUGAAGAAGGUUUUCGGACCGUAAAGCUCUGUUGUUGGUGAAGAAGGAUAGAGGUAGUAACUGGCCUUUAUUUGACGGUAAUCAACCAGAAAGUCACGGCUAACUACGUGCCAGCAGCCGCGGUAAUACGUAGGUGGCAAGCGUUGUCCGGAUUUAUUGGGCGUAAAGCGAGCGCAGGCGGAAGAAUAAGUCUGAUGUGAAAGCCCUCGGCUUAACCGAGGAAUUGCAUCGGAAACUGUUUUCUUGAGUGCAGAAGAGGAGAGUAGAACUCCAUGUGUAGCGGUGGAAUGCGUAGAUAUAUGGAAGAAUACCAGUGGCGAAGGCGGCUCUCUGGCCUGCAACUGACGCUGAGGCUCGAAAGCAUGGGUAGCGAACAGGAUUAGAUACCCUGGUAGUCCAUGCCGUAAACGAUGAGUGCUAAGUGUUGGGAGGCUUCCGCCUCUCAGUGCUGCAGCUAACGCAUUAAGCACUCCGCCUGGGGGAGUACGACCGCAAGGUUGAAAC
rnacentral:rRNA from 1 species